rnacentral:rRNA from 1 species
GAUGAACGCUGGCGGCGUGCCUAAUACAUGCAAGUCGAGCGAACAGACGAGGAGCUUGCUCCCCUGACGUUAGCGGCGGACGGGCGAGUAACACGUGGAUAACCUACCUAUAAUACUGGGAUAACUUCGGGAAACCAGAGCUAAUACCGGAUAAUAUAUUGAACCGCAUGGUUCAAUAGUGAAAGACGGUUUUGCUGUCACUUAUAGAUGGAUCCGCGCCGCAUUAGCUAGUUGGUAAGGUAACGGCUUACCAAGGCAACGAUGCGUAGCCGACCUGAGAGGGUGAUCGGCCACACUGGAACUGAGACACGGUCCAGACUCCUACGGGAGGCAGCAGUAGGGAAUCUUCCGCAAUGGGCGAAAGCCUGACGGAGCAACGCCGCGUGAGUGAUGAAGGUCUUCGGAUCGUAAAACUCUGUUAUUAGGGAAGAACAAAUGUGUAAGUAACUAUGCACGUCUUGACGGUACCUAAUCAGAAAGCCACGGCUAACUACGUG